GAGAGGUGCUCACCGUGGAGGGGCAGGACUCUGUGCUAUGGAUCCUCUCACCAUCUGCUCCCCUACGCUCAGACUUCAGCAGUGUCUUGUGUCCCACAGUUUCCACGGGACACAUCCCCUUCAUGGACAGGACAAAGCCAACGGAUACCCUAGAGAUACCAUCACCCACAGACAACAACAAGUAAAUUUAAGAAUAUGACGAUCACAUUCCCAAGAGGUGGGACUAGGAGACCUGUCUACUCCUGGCAGCACCGAUCAAUCUACUUUGGAGAAAAUAAUGGGCAUCAAGGAAACUCCACACGGAGUUUACUUUCUUUGUGGCGAAACUUCAGAGAUCUCUCCACGCCCAUUUCUGAGUCUGCUCACGUUUGUCAGCCUACAAGCCACACCUCCCACUGCCCGGACCUCCAGCUCCUUCUGUAGCACCGUGGCUUACAACCCCGGCAUGUUCUGCAGCGGCUGCGGAUGAGUCUGGGUCUCCACGCUCGGCUGACUUUGGCAGUCAGCGUCAGGCCUAAGAAUCCACUCAAGGCAGUCGGAAGGGGUCUCCAUGACCACUUUCCUACAAUUCUUUCUCCUCAUGUUGGCCGGUGGGUUCACCCUCUGGCCCUGCUUCUCUUCUGAAUCCUGUUUUAAACACCUUUGUUGCUGUCUGUCACCUGGACGGGUGCUUCUUUUCCUGCAAAAGUCUGAAGUUUUCUUUGCUGUACACCAGCCUCCUUUGACAUCAUUGGAACAUUUCCCAAGCUUCUUUGAGGCUCCAGAAUGGCAUCUUUUGGAAUCUGUGAAAAUUUCCUUUCCAAACAGCUAGCACCACCUUAGUGAAGUAGACCCUGAGCUGGUCCACUUUUGGAACACAGGAAGUCCCUAGGGGUAGCCCCCCGACUUCAACUCCCUCGCUCUUCACUAGAGCCUUUGAAAUGAUUCUAUACCUCUUAUUCUAGGUUCAGUGUCUGGAAACAACUGGCCCAGUGAUUAAUCUUUUCUAGACAUCUUACUACAAACAUGGUCCAUAAUGUUCCAAGGGCAGGACACGGUACCUGAAGGGAAUACAUGAUACAUAGAUUCACCUUCACUGUGUUAGUGGAGGAUGUCCAUGCUUAUUUUAAAAAUAGUGUUGAAAACAAUGCCUGCAAGAUGCCCAUUUCCCUAGGGCACAUGUCAGUUCCCAACCUAAGUAAUCCACAUUGUUGAACAAAAUGACUAAGUGAAAGGCUGGUCUGCUUGGCUGUCACUUGCUGUUUUAAUUUGCAUCUUAUGCUUUAGUUUCAAAAUGCACAGUAUCUCAGUUUUUGCUAUAACUAAUGAAAUAAAUAUUUAGAAUUAUUGUGAGAACUUCAAAACAAAAUUCUUAUUAAUCAAAAAUAAAAAUUCAUUGACGACUGUCUUAGGGUGGGGCGAGUCUAAUACUGCGUUGUAAAUGAAGGCUUGAAUUCAAACAAAUGUUGUCUAUUAAAAUGUUCAAGAGGAA